ACCCUGAAGAGAGUGGCUUAAUAAUGGUACUCAAGUCUCAAGUCAAGGAUAAUUCACUCGUUCGACUAGCUGAGUUGGACAUUUGCCGUGCACUUUGUAAGUAGCAGAGAACAGUGUAAAGGAUCAAAAUCUCUAGUUAGCAUCAAAAAGAGAGAGGAAGAAUCACUCCUAUCUUACAUUGAUUAUUUUAAUGCUAUCGUACUUAAAGUCC
rnacentral:lncRNA from 1 species